UACGUAGGGUGCGAGCGUUGUCCGGAAUUAUUGGGCGUAAAGAGCUCGUAGGCGGUCUGUCGCGUCGAAUGUGAAAACCCGGGGCUCAACUCCGGGCUUGCAUUCGAUACGGGCAGGCUAGAGUGUGGUAGGGGAGAUCGGAAUUCCUGGUGUAGCGGUGAAAUGCGCAGAUAUCAGGAGGAACACCGGUGGCGAAGGCGGAUCUCUGGGCCAUUACUGACGCUGAGGAGCGAAAGCGUGGGGAGCGAACAGG
rnacentral:rRNA from 1 species